rnacentral:rRNA from 1 species
UACGUAGGGGGCUAGCGUUGUCCGGAUUUAUUGGGCGUAAAGAGCGUGUAGGCGGCCAGGUAGGUCUGGUGUGAAAACUCGAGGCUUAACCUCGAGAUGUCAUCGGAAACCAUCUGGCUAGAGUCCGGAAGAGGAGAGUGGAAUUCCUGGUGUAGCGGUGAAAUGCGCAGAUAUCAGGAAGAACACCAAUGGCGAAAGCAGCUCUCUGGGACGGUACUGACGCUGAGACGCGAAAGCGUGGGAAGCGAACAGG